GCGGGUGUAGUUCAGCGGUAGAACAUCAGCUUCCCAAGCUGAGAACGCGGGUUCGAUUCCCGUCGCCCGCUC
rnacentral:tRNA from 1 species